rnacentral:rRNA from 1 species
GACGAACGCUGGCGGCGUGCUUAACACAUGCAAGUCGAACGGUGAAUCUCCAUCUUUCUGGUGUGUAUCAGUGGCGAACGGGUGAGUAACACGUGAGCAACCUGCCCCUGACUCUGGAAUAAGCGCUGGAAACGGCGUCUAAUACUGGAUACGAGAUCAAGCCGCAUGGUUUUGUUCUGUUAUUUUUUUCGGUUUGGGUUGGGCUCGCUGCCUAUCAGCUUGUUUGUGAGGUAAUGGCUCACCAAGGCGACGACGGGUAGCCGGACUGAGAGGGCGACCGGCCAAAAUGGGACUGAGAGACGGACAAGACUCCUACGGGAGGCAGCAGGGGGGAAUAUUGCACAAUGGGCGAAAGCGUGAUGCAGCGAAGCAGCGUGAGGGAUGACGGCCUUGGGGUUGUAAACCUCUGUCAGCAGGGAAGAAGAGAAAGUGACGGUAACUGCAGAAGAAGCACCGGCUAACUACGUG